CAGCAGCGCGGUAAUACGUAGGGGGCGAGCGUUGUCCGGAAUUAUUGGGCGUAAAGCGCGCGCAGGCGGUCCUUUAAGUCUGAUGUGAAAGCCCACGGCUCAACCGUGGAGGGUCAUUGGAAACUGGGGGACUUGAGUGCAGGAGAGGAGAGCGGAAUUCCACGUGUAGCGGUGAAAUGCGUAGAGAUGUGGAGGAACACCAGUGGCGAAGGCGGCUCUCUGGCCUGCAACUGACGCUGAGGCGCGAAAGCGUGGGGAGCAAACAGGAUUAGAUACCCUGGUAGUCCACGCCGUAAACGAUGAGUGCUAAGUGUUAGAGGGGUCACACCCUUUAGUGCUGCAGCUAACGCGAUAAGCACUCCGCCUGGGGAGUACGGCCGCAAGGCUGAAACUUAAAGGAAUUGGCGGG
rnacentral:rRNA from 1 species